rnacentral:rRNA from 1 species
AGCUCUGUAAGCGUAUACCAAAGUUGUUGCAGUUAAAACGCUCGUAGUCGGAUUUUGGCGUGGUACUUCUGAGGUCCCUGAUUGGGUACUGAAGGUAGUCCCGCCUUUGUGGAUGGGGGCGUGGUGGUGCUUAACUGUAUUGCCGCGUUUCCGCCACUGUUUACUGUGAAAAAAUUAGAGUGUUCAAAGCGAGCGAUUGCCAUGAAUACAUUAGCAUGGAAUAAUAGAAUAGGACCUGAUCCUGUUUUGUUGGUUUGUCGGUAUUAGGUAAUGAUUAAGAGGGACGGUCGGGGGCAUUUGUAUUCCAGGGUUAGAGGUGAAAUUCUUGGAUCCUUGGAAGACAAACAGCUGCGAAAGCGUCUGCCAAGGACGUUUUCAUUGAUCAAGAACGAAAGUACGC